AACAUAAUCUAAAAAUUCAGAUAAUUUUAUACCAAAAUGGAGUAAAACAGCAUUUUAGUCUUUGAAAUUGUAAGAGCCGGACAAUUUAGUCUCUCAAAUUUGCGAAAUAGCUGAAAUGCUGAUUUUGAACUUACAACACUUUGCUUUUGCAACUCUAUCUUUCAGGGUGUUUUUCUUGAUAGCUGAGAUGUGCUUAUUGGCGGGAUCAGUUGAAAAUGCUUAUCACACAAAGUACAGGACCAUCAUUUACAAUGAUCCUCCUUCUUGUGAGACAGUAAGGAAAGGAGUUUUUGCUGCUGGUGCCGCCUUCAUUUUCUUCACCUCCAUCAUUUCGAAGUUCUAUUACAUCAACUACUCGAGUGCGAGGGAAAGUUUCCAACCAUAUCUUGGAGGUGGUGAGACUGGCGUUGGGAUGGGAACCUACAAAUGAGCUUGUUAGUCUCAUUCUUGUCUAAAAUGUGGCUAUAUCUGAAACUCGAUUCCGUAACAUUUAUGUCGCAUUUAUUAUAUUUUACGGUUUUAGAGGCUAUACUAGAAUGUAUAAGUUGUAUGUU
rnacentral:lncRNA from 1 species